rnacentral:rRNA from 1 species
CCUACGGGUGGCAGCAGUGGGGAAUAUUGCACAAUGGGGGAAACCCUGAUGCAGCGACGCCGCGUGAGUGAAGAAGUAUUUCGGUAUGUAAAGCUCUAUCAGCAGGGAAGAAAUAGCGACCUUGGGUUCGCCAGACGGUACCUGACUAAGAAGCCGCGGCUAACUACGUGCCAGCAGCCGCGGUAAUACGGAGGGGGCAAGCGUUAUCCGGAUUUACUGGGUGGAAAGGGAGCGUAGACGGCAGCACAAUUCUGAAGUGAAAUGCCGGGGCUUAACCCCGGAACUGCUUGGGAAACUGUGGAGCUAGAGUGCAAGAGAGGUAAGUGGAAUUCCUAGUGUAGCGGUGAAAUGCGUAGAUAUUAGGAGGAACACCAGUGGCGAAGGCGGCUUGCUGGACUGUAACUGACGUUGAGGCUCGAAAGCGUGGGGAGCAAACAGGAUUAGAUACCCUUGUAGUC